AACGCAUAUUGCGCCUUCUGGUAUUCCGGAAGGCAUGCUUGUUUGAGUAUCAGUAACAACCUCAGCUCCUUUUCAUCGCGCUUAUGCGUGAGGGAAGGGGGUUGGAUUUGAGCAUAUCCCACCUAUAUCAACCUACAAAUUGACUUUGGGAGGGAUGCUUGAAAUAGAGGUUCGGCAGACAGUGCCUGGGCUACAAGCAUUUCAUACUUAAUCCCGUUAAACGGAUUAUUUCCUUUGCUGCAGCCAACAUAUAGGGUGACUGUCCAUUGUCCGACUGAUGCAGGAAAAGUUGAGACGCGAUCCUCGGAUCAUGGCUCUUCUAAACUCGAUCUCAAAUCAAGUAAGACUACCCGCUGAACUUAA
rnacentral:misc_RNA from 1 species